AUUGAACGCUGGCGGCAGGCUUAACACAUGCAAGUCGAGCGGAGACUUCGGUCUUAGCGGCGAACGGGUGAGUAAUACCUAGGAAUCUGCCCAUUAGCGGGGGAUAACGUUUCGAAAGGGACGCUAAUACCGCAUACGCCCUACGGGGGAAAGCAGGGGAUCUUCGGACCUUGCACUAAUGGAUGAGCCUAGGCCGGAUUAGCUAGUUGGUAGGGUAAAGGCCUACCAAGGCGACGAUCUGUAGCUGGUCUGAGAGGACGGCCAGCCACACUGGAACUGAGACACGGUCCAGACUCCUACGGGAGGCAGCAGUGGGGAAUAUUGGACAAUGGGGGCAACCCUGAUCCAGCCAUGCCGCGUGUGUGAAGAAGGCCUUCGGUU
rnacentral:rRNA from 1 species